GCCAGGACAACUGACAAGUUGUUCAAAAAGGUGACACACAGUGACACACCAAAAAUGUAUGAUGUGUAGGUAGGUGUCUUUAUUCAAGGCCAGAACUUACUGAAUGGCAAUAGGAUCACAAGCGUUCAGAAGGGUCAAUCCAUGCCUGCAACACAGUGCUCAGUCAUAGCUGGGUAUCGAAUUCUUCGAGGGCAAGUUCUAAGACCACCAGGACAGGAACAGAAUGAGAUCAAGUCCUUCUCCCCUUUGUAACAAAGGUAACGUUUCCUCCAGCCUCAGCAGCGUUCCUCCACGCUGCAGCCUCCCGGAGUAUUUGCUGACCGUGCUUUCCCAGAUCAUGGCCGCGCCACGCUCUGUCUCCUUUCUUCCUGAGUCCUCACUGGAAUCACCAUUAAAGUGACAAGAACUCAUGGCUUAACCAUCACUUAGUUUGUCUCUGAAACCUGGACUUCCUGGGUACUUCCUCUGGACCCCGCUGUGUCGGUUUAUCAAGAGACUUCACUCCAUAGCUGACCAGGUUCCUCAUCUGAUUGAAUUGGGGAGGAUUGAGACCAAACCCCCAUUUCACUCCCCCACCCCCACCCCCUGCUCCCACACAAUCCCACUCGGGUGGGCCCUGUGCUUGCUGGGAGUCUGCCUUGCU